CCUACGGGAGGCUGCAGUGAGGAAUAUUGGUCAAUGGACGAGAGUCUGAACCAGCCAAGUAGCGUGAAGGAUGACUGCCCUAUGGGUUGUACACUUCUUUUAUAUGGGAAUAAAAUGUUCCACGUGUGGGAUUUUGUAUGUACCAUAUGAAUAAGGAUCGUGUAACUCCGUGCCAGCAGCCGCGGUAAUACGGUGGAUACGAGCGUUAUCCGGAUUUAUUGGGUUUAAAGGGAGCGUAGGUGGAUUGUUAAGUCAGUUGUGAAAGUUUGCGGCUCAACCGUAAAAUUGCAGUUGAAACUGGCAGUCUUGAGUACAGUAGAGGUGAGCGGAAUUCGUGGUGUAGCGGUGAAAUGCUUAGAUAUAACGAAGAACUCCGAAUGCGAAGGCAGUUCACUGGACUGCAACUGACACUGAGGCUCGAAAGUGUGGGUAUCAAACAGGAUUAGAUACCCCGGUAGUC
rnacentral:rRNA from 1 species